GAUGAAGAACUUAGCGAAAUGCGAUAAGUAAUGUGAAUUGCAGAAUUCAGUGAAUCAUCGAAUCUUUGAACGCACAUUGCGCCCGCCAGUAUUCUGGCGGGCAUGCCUGUUCGAGCGUCAUUUCAACCAUCAAGCCCCCGGCUUGUGUUGGGGACCUGCGGCUGCCGCAGGCCCUGAAAACCAGUGGCGGGCUCGCUGUCACACCGAGCGUAGUAGAUUUUCAUCUCGCUCAGGGCGUGCUGCGGGUUCCGGCCGUAAAAAGCCUUAUUUACCCAAGGUUGACCUCGGAUCAGGUAGGAAGACCCGCUGAACUUAAGCAUAUCAAUAAGCGGAGGA
rnacentral:misc_RNA from 1 species